GACUACAGGGGUAUCUAAUCCCUUUCGCUCCCCUAGCUUUCGUCCCUGAGUGUCAGUUUCGGUCCAGUAGCGCGCCUUCGCCACCGAUGUUCUUCCCAAUAUCUACGCAUUUCACCGCUACACUGGGAAUUCCCGCUACCCCUACCGUACUCUAGUCUCUCAGUUUCCACCGCCUGCCCGGAGUUGAGCUCCAGUCUUUGACAGCAGACUUGAAAGACCACCUGCGGACGCUUUACGCCCAAUAAUUCCGGAUAACGCUUGCAUCCUCCGUAUUACCGCGGCUGCUGGCACGGAGUUAGCCGAUGCUUAUUCCUCAGGUACCGUCAGAUCUUCUUCCCUGAGAAAAGAGGUUUACAACCCAAAGGCCUUCCUCCCUCACGCGGUAUUGCUCCGUCAGGCUUUCGCCCAUUGCGGAAAAUUCCCCACUGCUGCCUCCCGUAGGAGUCUGGGCCGUGUCUCAGUCCCAGUGUGGCUGCUCAUCCUCUCAGACCAGCUACUGAUCGUUGCCUUGGUAAGCUUUUACCCCACCAACUAGCUAAUCAGACGCGAGCUCCUCUUAAGGCAAAAAAUUUUCACCUUCCGGCACAUUGGGUAUUAGCAGUCGUUUCCAACUGUUGUCCCCAUCCUCAAGGCAGAUUCUCACGCGUUACUCACCCGUCCG
rnacentral:rRNA from 1 species